UCCACAGUAGCACACAAGGCAAAUUCAACUUUGAUUAUGAAUUCCGGGUUCGAUUCCCGGCUGUGGAAUUUUUAUGCAAUCUAUAUUUUUUCAUUUUUUUAAUACUACCAACUCUUCCGAUUUAUCUUUUUUUUUUUUAUGAGGAAAUGUUCCUUAGAGCAUCCACAUCCAUACUACUCAUAUGAGUGGUAUAAAUGGAUCCCACUGAAUACAUUAUAUUACUCCCUCCGUCCCUUAAUAAAUGACUUAGUUGACAAUAUGCAUUAUUGACUUGAUAUACUUUGACCAUAUUUUUUUACUAAUUUACAAAGAUGAAUAAUAUCAUGUAAGAUGUUGUUGGAUUCGUCUCGAUGAGUAUUUUUAAAAUAUUAAAUUUUUAUAAUUUUUUUUAGUAGAGAAUUGAAGAUAUCAAAGAUAAAACAUAUGCAUUGGUAUGUGUGUCAGAGUCAAUUAGGUCAUUUAUUUAGGGACGGAGGGAGUAUUUCACACUUCCCUAUUAUUUAAACCUCUCAACUAAAUUUUUUAAAUAUCCAUACUACUCUUCAAAAUUUUCAAAUGGGUCGCACAAAACCUCACAAUAUACAUCACAAUUGUAUUUUAUAUUAAUAUAUAACACCCUUUAACACCAUAAUUUAAUUUUAUAAUAGUUUAUAAAUUCAACAAUGUAUAAUACCACGGAAGCAUUGCAGAGGAACGGUUGCCAUGCCAAAUUCUAAAAUAUCCUCACUUGUUUAACAAAAUAGCAUUCAGAAAAGCAAAAACACUCACAAUGUCAACCGAUAAUGAUGCUCUUAUAUUUUUCUUGUGCGGGUACAGUAUCAUUUCUUUUUCCGUUAAGAACAUUUUUUUUUUUGAAAGAUUGUUCCCUAAGAACAUGAACCACCGUUGUAUUUCCAUUUUCAUGUAAUGCAUCUCUAAUAUAUAGAAAAAAAUGUUCUCAGGGAACAAAAUAUGUCUGCAGAUUUUAUAGCUAAGGAAGGAUCACAUGCAAGAUGCUCUGCUGGUUGGAACUGCCCUCUGUCUGGCAUGGAAUCUCUCAUCCUGAGAGAUAAACUUGAAACUUAAUUUCGUCUUUUUUCUCUUUUUUUUUUAUUCUUUUUCUUUUUCUCUUUUCCUCGUUACAUUGUAACAUUACCAAAAAAAUUCUAUAUUAUAUAUAAAGAAAACUAUCCCUUUCAGCUCUUUUGAGCUGAAAUUUUCUUUCCAAAAAUGCCCUUAAUUUUUAAUACAAAUAACACAUGUAACAAAUAGAUAAGAAUAAAUUUAAAUAUUUAAAAAAUAUAACAAACACAUUAUGAUUUUUUUCAUUUAUCAUUUAAAAAGUGUAACAAACUAGAUGAAUAUAUUUAUACUUACUUUUCCAUUAUCCCAAUUAUAUCCUUAAACAAUUUUUUCUAUAAUAAAGAUUGUUGUUGGUGUCAUUAAAAAAAGAAUUUAGAUUAUAUUUUUUUGUUAUAUUGUUGGUGUCAUUGAAAUAGAUAAUCAUAGCUAGUUUGUUUGUUAUAACUUGAAAGAGAUAAACAUUACAUCAGUUUACAACAUUUAUAUUUGAUUCGAAUCGAUGAACUUCGGAAAGGAAACUAUCCACUCUAUCUUCAUUGAGUUCAGAUGCCAUAGUUUCUUUUUAUUUGGUCAAGUAGUCUAGUGGAUAGAGCUCACACAUUUAAAUGUGAAGAAGUGGAGUGUCCAGGGUUCGAACCCCGCCAUUGCAUAUAAUAUGUAAUAUCCCUAUCAACUGAGUUAAGCUUACGGGAUGGUGCCAUAGUUAAUAAAAAAAACAGUUGGGAACAAUAACUUUUCCAAGAAAAAAGAAAAUAUAUGCAUUAAAACAAUUUCUUUUCUUAACUUAUAUUUUCAAAAAGAAGAUAGUUAUCUUGUUAAAGAAAAAAGAAGAAGAAGAAGAAGAUAGAAACAACACAUGUAAUUUCAAACAUUUGUCUUGGGACAAGAUUUAGAUUGAAGAGAUUCACAAACUGCGAAAAUCCCUUGUUUUGUUACCUCUAUCCGGAUGAGCCAAAACCAUAGCUUUUGUUUUCUGUUGCGAAAUAGUUCGAGUAAGUUUUGAAUGAGUUUCGCAAAAGCUUGAUGUAAAGGAACAAAUUUUUGUCCUCCAUUUUGGAGCGUUAUAGAUCCUCGUUUAACUAACAUUCACAUUAAAGAAUUUUAUUAUGGCCUACCCUUCACAAUAUUAUUAGUAUCACAAGCGUUUGUUUUACUUUCGCAGAAAGUGCAGCAGGAUCCUUUGGGUUGAAAUAACAAAUUCAAUUUUGAAAUGAACUUUUGAUCUUCAUCUUGUCCAUAUUUUUGCUCGAUAAUUUUACACAUUGCAAUUUUAAUCAAAACCAAGAUAUUUAAUUAGCCAACAAAUGGUGAAAAGAAAAUAUAAAUCGAUAACUUUUGGCUAAAAAUCACUAUUUUCAAAACAAAAAUUUAGAUUACAAUCAAAAUUUAAACAGUGUGUGAAGCUGAUGUUAUAGGCUUCUAGGUUAAAUGUUUUGGCUGAUGACGUAAGAGGUAGUAGGUUAUGUGUUUGAGUUUGCUCCAUUUUCUACCCCAUUUACAAUCUAUUUACAAGAGAGAUAUACAAAUGAUUAUUUGUGGGAUUCAUUUUAAUAAGUUGUCAGAUAAGUUAUGAACUGUGAAUUGGAAUUUGAGUAUCCGUUAAUGAUAUUUUUGCGAAUUGAUUUGUACAAAUUCACCAAUAAUUUAUUUAAAACUUCCGAAUUGGUGAACCGAGAUAAAUAGGUUAAGAUCGAAGAAAGAUGAAGAAUAAGUUGAGUAUAAAGGAAAACCUUUAAUGAUACAAAUAAGUCUUGCAGAAAAUUUAGAGAAAGAAAAGGUCUCUUGCAAAAUAACAUUGAUAAAAAAAGAAGGAAAAAAGUGAAUAUAAAAAAAUGUUUUGGUGAGUGGACACUAGUUUGUUGCAACUAACUAUUAUGAUUCUUCUACUUUUCGCAUAAAGAGAUUUUGAGUACCCGUGCGAAUAUAAUGUUGAGCAGAAGGAAAGACUCAUAUUGCAUAAUAACAAUUUUAAAAAAAAAUAAUAAUUAUUGAUAACUUACUAUAAUUAAUUAAGUAGUACUGCCACUACGAACCAAAGCUCCAUACUGUUCACAUGUCGAUACUGCAAACUCGUACCACUACCAACACAAAUUGCAAAUUAUGUGAUUAUGGUUUUUGGUUCUUCCUUUCCUUUUCUGAUAAGAAAAUUUUGAAUACCAAUGCGAAUAAAGUGUUGAGCAGAAGGAGAAACUCAUUUGCGUAAAAACGAAUUUUUUCUUAAAAAUUAUUGAUAGCUUACUAUAGUAUGAGGGUGAAGUAUAAAAUGAACCUAUAAAAAUAUUGUUUUUAUGAUAGACCAAUUUUUUGUACCAUUAGAUCAUAUGAACCUAUCAAAUUUUAUCAUGGUUUAUAAACACCAAAUCUCACCCAUCUUUUCUAUAACUCUCAUUUAAUCUCUCUACUUUUUUUUGUCACAUUUUUUUUCUUCAUUUAGCAACAUAAGUAGUCUUUUUCUUACGGCACUUUGUAUUGAUCGAGUUUUUAAGUAAUAUAUGAAUUAAUUUAUUUUGUUUUGAAGGGAUAUGAAUUAAAUUUCUUUAAAAAAAAAAAAACAUGAAUUAAAUAAGUAUUCAAUUGGUUUUUUUUUUUUUACGAAAAGAAAAAAUCUAGUUGUUGUUGCUUAUGUUAUAAAAUAACUUCUUUUUGAAUUGUUGUUGUUGUUGUUCUUUCUUUAAUAUUUUUGUUUUUAAUCUUAUGGGUUUCUUAUUUUUUGUUUUGUUUUUAAAAUAAAAUUGUAUUAUUAAAUAUUAAUGAAAAAAAUCUGAUACACGUAAAAUAAAUCUUAAAACUGAAAUAUUAUAAAAAAAACUGAAAAUAUUUAUUUAAUUUAAAUGAAGUAUAAAAAUUAAAAUGAAUUAAAUUAAAAAUAUAAUUUAAUCAAAAGAAAUUAAUUAAGUAUUUUGACCAAAAAAUUAAAAAAAAAUUAUUAAUAUGUAAAAUAUAUAUUAAAUUGAUUAAUUUAAAUUAUUAAAUAUCUUAAAUAUUAAUUGAUUUACAUUUUAUUAUGAAUUACAAAUGUUCUUUUAUGUCAUUUACAUUUUAUUAUGUAUUGAUGGGUUGUAUUUAAUGUGGAUGGACCAUGAUAAAAAUUGAUUGUUGUUUCAAUCUAAAGGUUAAAAAAAUUGGUCCAUCUUAAACCAAAACUUCAUAGAUCCAAGCUAAAUGGCACCUAGUUAAUUAAUUAGUACAAUCACUACGAACCGAAACUCUAUACUCCCAUAGUUACGAUAUUUUUCACAUGUUACAUACUGCAAACUUGUACCAAGUACCAACACAAAUUACAAAUUAUUGACUACGUUUCUCAUAAAUAAAUAAAAUAGCUACUUGUUUAAUUUAUUAAAAAAAAAGGUUAAUUAUGUUUUAGGUCCCUAUAAAUAGGCGUGUUUCCAAUAUUAAUCCCCACUUAAAUUUUAUUAAAUUUUUGAUCCCCUACAUUUUUUUCCGUUAGCAAAAUAGGUCCUCACUGUUAAUUGUUGUUGAUUGAGCAAACGGUGAAGCACAUGCGGAUGCCACAUCUGACUUUUUUUUUGUUGGGUUAAAUAUGUUUUUAGUCCCUAUAAAAUUGAGGCAUUUUAAGUUUAGUCCUUACUUAAUUUUAAUAGUUGUUUUAGUCCUUACAAAAAUACUAUGCACUCAAUAUUAGUCUCUGCUCAAUUCAUAUUUGUUUAAUUUAUACUUAAACUCUUAAGUUUUUUAACAAUUUUUUGUUCCGCAAAAAAUUAUCGCAAAAUUUGAUUUAUAUGUCCAGAUUUUAUUACUUUUAUCUUUAACUUUUAUCAUUUUCAAAAAUUCAUAUUUAAUUCGUUUCAUGUUAAAAAAUUAUAAAUUUUAGUAAUUGAACCUUUCAUAGUAUUCUAAACUUGUCUCAAAAAAAUCGUUCAAAAAUUUAAGAGUUUAAGGAUAAUUAAACAAACUUUGUUUUAGCAGGGACUAAUAUUAGAAGUAAUUGUUUUUUGUAGGGACUAAAAAACCUACUAAAAGUUAUGAUAGUAUUUUCAUCAUGAAAAGAUAUUUUUGACUAGAAAUUAUUCCAAAAAAAACUAUCAAUUCAGCAACAAAACCACUCAUGCUCGACAAUGCAAGAGAAGUCAUCGAUAAUAUAGUGAAAAUCGUGAAUAUUUUUGGCAUUAGGAUAGCCAUUCCGCCCAUUUCGUCAAGAUAAAAAAGACAUAGUUUAUCAUAACUAGUUCCUGCCAAGAAAAAAAGGGUAGCGCCAAUAAAUCCAUGAGAUAUUAUUUGUAAAACAGCCCCGUUGAGCCCAAUAUCACUUAUAGAACCAAUUCUUAGAAGAGCAUUACUUUUCCCACCCUAUGGCUUUCUUCGCGCGCCCUAUUUUUUUUUUCAAAAUUACCCUCGGAGCAUUCCGGAUUAUAUAAUCCGGAAUGAUGUUUUCUUUUGUUAAAGGGUGAAAAAAUGAGUAACGGGUUUUUUCCGAAUUUUGUAAUCCGGAAACUUAAAAAAAUAGGGCGCGUUACGUGAUGUUUCCGGAUUACAUAAUCCGGAAACCCCUAAACACCCUUUUUCAAGGUAAAACAGUUCGGAUUAUAUAAUCCGAACUGUAUCAGCACAAAUUCUAAACAUGUUUGUAACAUGGAUAAUCAUUUUAAGGACAAUAUUAAUAUUCAUAACUCUCAUCUUUCUGUUUUGGGUCAUUGUUACCCAUUCUUAGUCAAAAAUCGGGUUUUCGGACUACUUGGUCGGAUUGCUCCGAAACUUCCCCAAAAAAUCAGAAAAAAUUCAAGGACCAUGACUCCCUUAGGAAGGGACUUCUUACGGGACUCCGCCCCUCAAAAUCCAAAAUUCUAUCGUUUAGACACAUUUUUCAAUUUUUAAAAUUUUUCAUAUUCUCAGAAAAAUCAGAAAAAAUUUGCAUUAGUUUUAUUUAAUUUUUAGGUGCUAUUUUUAUGAUUUUAUUCGACAGGUUUUUAACAUUUUUUACUUACUUUUUUUGUUGUUUUUAAAAGCAAAACUCAAAACUGCUGAAAUGUGAGAGAGUCUGAUGGCUGAUUAUACAUAAGAAUUGUCCGGAUUAUAAAAUCUGAAAUAGUAAACAUGAAUCCAGAUUUUAAAAUCCGGAAUGCACAAGGACAUUUUUGAAAAUUUUACAGGGCGCGGGAGAAGGCCAUAUGGUGGGAAAAGUAAUAGUCUUCUUAGAAUUAUGAAACCAAUAUGAUAUACCGAAUAAUAAGCUUUUUUUUUUUUUGAUUACGUUGACCAAAAGAUGUUGAAUCAACAUAGAUUAUUUGAAUAGAACAUAAUAUCAUUAACCAGGGGCAAAAUAUUGAAUAAGCGUGGGAAAAUAAUUUCAUAUUAAUUUGAACCAACCCAUAUGCUCCCACUUCAUGCAAAACUAGUGGGAGUAUACAAGGGUUUAAGCAUAAAUUGAACAAAUUUGAAUUGAGCAGGGACUAAUACUGAAUGCAUAGUAUUUUUAUAAGGACUAAAACAACUAUUAAAAUUAAGUAAGGACUAAACUUAAAAUGUCUCAAUUUUACAGGAACUAAAAACAUAUUUAACCAAAAAAAAAAAGUCAGAUGUGACAUCCAUAUGUGCUUCACCGUUUGCUCAAUCAGCAACAAGAGAAUCUAUUUUGCUAACGGAAAAAACAUUGGGGACCAAAUAUUUAAUAAAAUUUAAGUAGGGAUUAAUGUUAGAAAAACGCCUAUAUAUAGAGACCUAAAACAUAAUUAAAAAAAAAAAAAUAGCAGCGGUUAUCUGUAAAUUAAAAAAAACUGGCUAGAAGAAUAAAAUACCCUGACUAUACCUAGUUUAUAUUAAUAACUGGCGAAGUGUUAUCAUAGCAUCCGCAGUAGCACACCAGGCAAAUUCAAUGAAUAUGAAUUCCGGGUUCGAUUCCCGGCUGUGGAAUUUUUU
rnacentral:lncRNA from 1 species